rnacentral:rRNA from 1 species
AGUGAACGCUGGCGGUAGGCCUAACACAUGCAAGUCGAACGGCAGCACAGUAAGAGCUUGCUCUUACGGGUGGCGAGUGGCGGACGGGUGAGGAAUACAUCGGAAUCUACUUUUUCGUGGGGGAUAACGUAGGGAAACUUACGCUAAUACCGCAUACGACCUACGGGUGAAAGCAGGGGAUCUUCGGACCUUGCGCGAUUGAAUGAGCCGAUGUCGGAUUAGCUAGUUGGCGGGGUAAAGGCCCACCAAGGCGACGAUCCGUAGCUGGUCUGAGAGGAUGAUCAGCCACACUGGAACUGAGACACGGUCCAGACUCGUACGGGAGGCAGCAGUGGGGAAUAUUGGACAAUGGGCGCAAGCCUGAUCCAGCCAUACCGCGUGGGUGAAGAAGGCCUUCGGGUUGUAAAGCCCUUCUGUUGGGAAAGAAAAGCAGCAGGUUAAUACCCCGCUGUUCUGACGGUACCCAAAGAAUAAGCACCGGCUAACUUCGUG